ACCUGUAAGUCACUUACAGGCAAAUCUACCAAAAAACUGCAGGGCGAUGGGGGCCCUAAGCCACUUACAAGCUCAACGGUCGGAUUUUUUAAAAGAGGGGAAGAUGGAGAAACGCACUCUCCCUCUCUGCAAUCUCUCUCCGUCUGCAACGACCGCCCUCUGUCUCUGCAAUCUCUCUUUGUCUGAAACGACCGCCCUCCCUCUCUGCAAUCUCUCUCUGUCUGCAACGACCUCCCUCCCUCUCAGCAAUCUCUCUUUGUCUGCAACGACCACCCUCCCUCUCUACUCCUCCCCAAAACGGUAGGGUUUGAUCGCAAUGUUUCCUUUUCUGCUUUGAAAACGGGGGUGGAUUAGGUGUUACUCGUACACAUGCUCACCCGUGCACGUGUGCACGUGUGAUCCUUUCCACACGUGUCAUGGGACUCUAAUCCGAAUGGUUCAUGUGAUGAAACAUCCCAUUAAACCUCCCUAGGGACCAAUUUUCACUCUGAUCUAAAACUCCGGUGGGCCAUAGAAAAGUGAUAUGAAAAUCAAAGGAGAAAACUGUUUUCUUUUGCCAUGGCCCACAAAAGUUUUGGAUCAAUGUAAAAGUUGAACCCUGUGGGUUUCAUGGGAUGAUUCAUCACGUGGACCAUUCAGAUUUUGGACUAACAUAGCUUAUUAUGAGUUCUCAAAAAAGUUCUCACAAGAACUUGUGCCAACUGCACGGCUAAGCAUUUUGAUGGUAGGGGAUCGGGUGCUGAGUAAACUCUGUGGGAUCCACUGUGAUUUAUGUAUUUGAUCCACCCCAUCCAUCCAUUUUAAUAACAAACUCUGUGGAUGGUUUAAAGUAAGACAUGCCCAAUGGUAUAUAUACAAUGGUACAAUGUACACUCAUUAGAUGGCUGGUUUGUUUGAUGGAGGUUACCUUUAUUCAUGAUCCAUUCAUAGUGCACCAGAAAUAUGAUCUGGAUCACUAGAAGGUGGGUGCACCUACAUCGUAUGCUACUUACAUAUUGUGUUGCUGCUGUGGUUUGAGAACAAACUGCCAAUUUACCUUUAAAAAUUCAUAUG